rnacentral:rRNA from 1 species
UUAAGUAGACCGCCUGGGGAGUACGGCCGCAAGGUUAAAACUCAAAUGAAUUGACGGGGGCCCGCACAAGCGGUGGAGCAUGUGGUUUAAUUCGAUGCAACGCGAAGAACCUUACCUGGUCUUGACAUCCACAGAAGAAUCCAGAGAUGGAUUUGUGCCUUCGGGAACUGUGAGACAGGUGCUGCAUGGCUGUCGUCAGCUCGUGUUGUGAAAUGUUGGGUUAAGUCCCGCAACGAGCGCAACCCUUAUCCUUUGUUGCCAGCGGUCCGGCCGGGAACUCAAAGGAGACUGCCAGUGAUAAACUGGAGGAAGGUGGGGAUGACGUCAAGUCAUCAUGGCCCUUACGACCAGGGCUACACACGUGCUACAAUGGCGCAUACAAAGAGAAGCGACCUCGCGAGAGCAAGCGGACCUCAUAAAGUGCGUCGUAGUCCGGAUUGGAGUCUGCAACUCGACUCCAUGAAGUCGGAAUCGCUAGUAAUCGUGGAUCAGAAUGCCACGGUGAAUACGUUCCCGGGCCUUGUACACACCGCCCGUCACACCAUGGGAGUGG